CUGCGCCGUCCGGGCCCGUCCUGCCUGGCCGCAGGUGCCCUGGAUGAGGCCGCCCCGCGCGCCCCAAACGGUGAGUGUCCCCGCGGUCGCGCCCGGCCCGCCGCCUGCUCCCCGGCCCCCGCGCCGUCGUCCGCGGCCGCCUCUCGGUGCCCCAGUGCCCGCGCCCGGCGCAUUCCGCCCCCGGCUGUCGCCCCCGCACCGCGGCGGAGGCAGCGCCGGCCUCUGGCUGGGAUGGGCUGGCCGGGAAAAGGACUGCUAGCCCGGGCCGCGAGCCCCGUGCAGACCACGCCGCUCACAGUGGGAGCUUGCGCUUAGUAGGCUCUCGAUGCAUUUCUGUGGAAUUGUUUUUCUGGUUGGAGGAACGUGGGGUUCCUAAGGGGAAGGGGGUCGUCCGGGGCCAGUAGGAGGGCAUCCGUGAUCGGGGUCGUGGUGGGUCGCGGGGAGGCCACCGGAGACUGAAGCAGUUACACAGGCUGCAGGGAAGGGAGCACCGACCAAGUCACUUGGGGCUCCAAGAGCCCGAUCUGGGGGUCUUCAAGGUCGAGGAGAAAAGAUCCUCUUGGGGAUGAGGGAGGGAACCAAUGAGUACAUAUGUGGGAAAUGAAUUGAGUGCCCCGGGAGGUUUAACUAACCAAGGUGGGUAAGGGAUGCGGAGGCGGGAGCUGGAAGACCCCUCUGCAACUACUUGGGCUCCUAAGAGUCUUUGAUGUGGGGUUUGGGCAUCCGAGUAGCAGAAGCGGAGUGAUUUUUGUGGAGAGGGAAUUGCAUUUAAAGAAGGAUGCUAAAAAAACAGUGUAAAUACAUCUUGGUUUGGUUCCGAACUUUGAAAGGCUUGAGGGAUUGGAGUCACAAGGAAAUUUUGACAUUUUCUUGUGGCAUUCCAACUAAAGGGUGCCUGGCUGCUGGACUUUGUCAGUUAUCUUUUAUUGAAAAAUAUAUGUGUAUGUUUGAUGGUAUUCUAUCAGUCACAAGUUUUUCUGGAAAUUAUCAUAACUACACCUUGAAAUUCUUGUAGCAACCUCUCUAUCCAUAGUGGUGGCUUACUUCUUCCCUAUUUAACGUUUAGAAUGGAUUGUGCUAUUAUGUACUACUGACUUUUAUUCUAGAAGACUAAUAAGUAAUUCACAUUCUUUCUUUUCCUUACUUUCGUUUCUCUACAAGAAGGGAAUUUGGAAAGAAUCUGACUUAGGUGGUGUUUAGCACUUAGUGGAAAAGAUGAGUUUUGGGUUUUGGUGGCAUCUUUCGAUGAACAAAAGUUUUGAAUUUAGUGGUCUAUUUUAUCAAUAUUUCCUCUUAUGCUAGUGUUUUUCUGGGUCCUGUCUAAGAAUCUUUGCCACCCCCACAGUUGUGAAGAUAUUAUCCUGUUUUCUUCCAGAUGCUUUAUGGUGAUAAUUUUUGUGUAUUGAGGUGAUAAUUUUGUGUAUUGUGUAUUGGUUAAGAUUAGAUUUUUGCCCCCAUAUAGAUAGCUAAUUGUUCCAACACAGUAUACUUCCCUUUCCGCAUUAAUUGCUUUGGCACCUUGUUAAAGCGCAGUUAAUGGAGUAAGUGUGGAUCUGUCUCUAAACUCUAUUCUGUUCAUCUGUUUGUCUUUCUGCCACUAUGACACUGUCUUGAUUUACCAUAGCAUUAAGUCUUGAAAUAAGGUAAUAGAACUUCUCCAGUUUAGUUCUUAUUUUUCAAGAUUGUUUAGACUUUUUUUAGGUAUUGUACAUUUGCACAUAAAUUUUGUAAUCAGCUUAUCAAUAUCUACAAAAAAGCCUUUUGGAAUUUUUAUUAGGGUUGCAUUUGAAUCUAUGAAUUGGAGAAAAUUAACAUCUUAACAUGAACAUAAUAUAGCUCUAUUUAGAUCUUCUUUUUUAGUGUAGAGAGAACUCUUUCACCAUUGUAUAUGUUAGCUAUACAUUUUUCAUAGAUGCCCUUUAUCAGAUUGAAGAAGUUCUCUUUGCUUAGAGCUUUUUUUUUUCCCACAAGUGGAUGUUUAGCUUUUUUUUUUUUUUUUUUUUUUUUUGAGACACAGUCUCGCUCUGUUGCCCAGGCUGGAGUGCAGUGGCGCUAUCUUGGCUCACUGCAACCCCCGCCUCCUGGGUUCAAGCGAUUCUUCUGCCUCAGCCUCCCAAGUAGCUGGGACUAUAGGCGCGUGCCACCACGCCCAGAUAA
rnacentral:lncRNA from 1 species